UAAUUGAAGAGUUUGAUCCUGGCUCAGAUUGAACGCUGGCGGCAUGCCUAACACAUGCAAGUCGAACGAGAAAGUUCCUUCGGGAGCGAGUACAGUGGCGGACGGGUGAGUAAUGCAUGGGAAUCUGCCCAGUAGUGGGGAAUAACCCGGGGAAACUCGGGCUAAUACCGCAUACGUCCUACGGGAGAAAGCGGGGGAUCUUCGGACCUCGCGCUACUGGAUGAGCCCAUGUCAGAUUAGCUUGUUGGUGGGGUAAUGGCCUACCAAGGCAACGAUCUGUAGCUGGUCUGAGAGGACGAUCAGCCACACUGGGACUGAGACACGGCCCAGACUCCUACGGGAGGCAGCAGUGGGGAAUAUUGGACAAUGGGCGAAAGCCUGAUCCAGCAAUGCCGCGUGUGUGAAGAAGGCCUGCGGGUUGUAAAGCACUUUCAGCAGGGAAGAAACGCCGGGGACUAAUACUCCCGCGGUACUGACGUUACCUGCACAAGAAGCACCGGCUAACUCCGUGCCAGCAGCCGCGGUAAUACGGAGGGUGCGAGCGUUAAUCGGAAUUACUGGGCGUAAAGCGCACGUAGGAGGCGAGAUCAGUCAGAUGUGAAAUCCCCGGGCUCAACCUGGGAAUUGCAUUUGAUACUGUCUCGCUAGAGUCUGGCAGAGGUAAGCGGAAUUCCGGGUGUAGCGGUGGAAUGCGUAGAUAUCCGGAAGAACACCAGUGGCGAAGGCGGCUUACUGGGCCAAGACUGACUCUGAGGUGCGAAAGCGUGGGGAGCGAACAGGAUUAGAUACCCUGGUAGUCCACGCCGUAAACGAUGUCAACUAGCCGUUGGACCCGUUUGAGGGUCAAGUGGUGCAGCUAACGCGAUAAGUUGACCGCCUGGGGAGUACGGCCGCAAGGUUGAAACUCAAAGGAAUUGACGGGGGCCCGCACAAGCGGUGGAGCAUGUGGUUUAAUUCGAUGCAACGCGAAGAACCUUACCAGGCCUUGACAUCCCGCGAACCUGCCAGAGAUGGCGGGGUGCCGCAAGGAGCGCGGAGACAGGUGUUGCAUGGCUGUCGUCAGCUCGUGUCGUGAGAUGUUGGGUUAAGUCCCGCAACGAGCGCAACCCUUGUCCUUAGUUGCCAGCACGUAAUGGUGGGGACUCUAAGGAGACUGCCGGUGACAAAUCGGAGGAAGGUGGGGACGACGUCAAGUCAUCAUGGCCCUUACGGCCUGGGCUACACACGUGCUACAAUGGCCGGUACAAUGGGUUGCCAACCCGCGAGGGGGAGCCAAUCCUCAAAGCCGGUCUCAGUCCGGAUCGGAGUCUGCAACUCGACUCCGUGAAGUCGGAAUCGCUAGUAAUCGCGAAUCAGCAAUGUCGCGGUGAAUACGUUCCCGGGCCUUGUACACACCGCCCGUCACACCAUGGAAGUUGGCGGCACCAGAAGUGGUUUGCCUGACCUUAGGGAGGGCGAUCACCACGGUGUGGUCAAUGACUGGGGUGAAGUCGUAACAAGGUAGCCGUAGGGGAAUCUGCGGCUGGAUCACCUCCUUA
rnacentral:rRNA from 1 species